rnacentral:tRNA from 2 species
GGGGAUAUGGCGGAAUCGGUAGACGCUGCGGACUUAAAAUCCGUUGAUUUUUUCAAUCGUGAGGGUUCAAGUCCCUCUAUCCCCA